rnacentral:misc_RNA from 1 species
CAGAGUUCCUGCCCUCACGGGUAGAAACCCCACCCUUGUAUAUUAUAUAUUGUUGCUUUGGCGGGCCGCCCUCACGGGCACCGGCUCACGCUGGCUCGCGCCCGCCGAAGGACCCCAAACUCUGAAGUAUAGUGUCGUCUGAGUACUAUUUAAUAGUUA